GCGAGAUAGCUCAGUUGGCUAGAGCAUCUGGUUCAUACCCAGCAGGUCGGUGGUUCGAAUCCACUUCUCGC
rnacentral:tRNA from 1 species